AUUCCCUUUCAUAAAUUCCCCCAAACGCGAUACGGCGGGCUGAGAAAAUUGGCGGUAGCCACGCUAAUUCUUCCCUCCUUUGCCCGCCAAAAAGAAAUACAACUUUGUGAUAACGCACAAAAUUCCCCGACUCAACAGAGACGGGAAACAAAAUGGAACCUGCAAAAGCAGCGCCCACUGGUUGCUACAAGUGUGGGCGGCCAGGCCACUGGUCGCGCGAUUGCCCUGAUUCAAACCCAAACCCUAACUCUAAUCCUCCCUCAAAAUCUACCAAUCUCAGCACUUCGAAUUCUUCCAGAUCUUUCCCUAUCAAGUCCGAUAUUAGCAAUUCAAAACCUGUAGCAGAGAAGCCAAAGAAGGCGCCAAGAAGCAGGCCGAAACUCACCCCUGAGAUUCUUCUCGGCGAUGAUGGCCUCGGCUAUGUUCUUCGCCAUUUCCCUCGCCAUUUUAUGUAUCGUGGCCGCGGACACGAGGUAAGAGAUUUAGGGAAUCUAAUUCGCUUAUAUAGUGAAUGGCACUCUCGCUUGCUCCCUUAUUACUCCUUUGAUGAAUUUGUUCAUAAGGUGGAACAAGUUGCGGCCACAAGGCGUGUCAAGAUAUGCCUCAGAGAUUUAAGAGAAAGAGUUGCCAGUGGAGGGGAUCCAAAAAAGUUGCAUGAAUCAGCGACUGAACAUGUUGGACCAAGCCUUGAACAAGGUCAUUCAGCUCCUGAUGAAGCUGUGGGAUUGCAUCAACAGGGAGAUCAACAUUUGAGGAACUAUGGUGCAGAUGGAGUACAAGAAGACAUGCUUCAUGAGAGUGAUGAUAGAGCUACUGAAGAACCAUCUCAUACUGGCAUGGAGCCACCAGCUCAAAAUAAUAUUGUUGGCUUGGCCAAUGAAGUUUUGAUUACAGAUGAACAAAGAGCUCGCAUGGAAGCUAACAGGUUGAAGGCAUUAGAAAGAGCUGCAGCUCGGGCCCGUUCAUUGCAGUCGAGCUGACUUAUGUUUAUUUUUUAUUUGUGAAUUUGAACUCCGUUCAAGUAGCUCAAAGAGGUUCCUAAAUGAUUAGUAAAACUCCUAAAGUUUAAUGCAAACGACACCCACAUUGGAUGGUGGUUUUUAAGAGUGUAAACAAUGGGGAUAGGGUAGUAUAAUGGAAGAUUAAUUAAUUUUGGUUUGCUUGAGAGUUUAAUAAAAAUAAAAAAGUGAUUAAUA
rnacentral:misc_RNA from 1 species